CUAAGGCGUUGAAGCAGUGUAUGUCAGACUUCCAAGAAAAGCUCGCAAUGUCACAAAUAAAAGAUGCCUGUACCAUAACCGACACAGGUGGGUAGGUAGAGUAUACUAAGGGGCACGAGAUAACUCUCUCUAAGGAACUCGGCAAAAUGACUCCGUAACUUCGGGAGAAGGAGUGCCUUAUUUAUAAGGUUGCAAUAACAAGAUCCAAGAACUGUUUAUCAAAAACACAGGUCUCCGCUAAGUCGUAAGACGAUGUAUGGGGGCUGACGCCUGCCCAGUGCCAGAAGGUUAAAGAAGUUGGUUAGUGUAUGCGAAGCUGAUGACUGAAGCCCUGGUGAACGGUGGCCGUAACAAUAACGGUCCUAAGGUAGCGAAAUUCCUUGUCGGGUAAGUUCCGACCCGCACGAAAGGCGUAAUGAUUUGGAUACUGUCUCGGAGAGAGGCUCGGUGAAAUAGACUUGUCUGUGAGGAUGCGGACUACCUGCACCAGGACAGAAAGACCCUAUGAAGCUUUACUGUAACUUGAAAUUGGAAUUGGACUUUGCUUGCGCAGUAUAGGUGGGAAGCGUUGAAAAUAUUCUUGCGGGAGUAUUGGAGCUAUCAGUGAGAUACCACUCUUGUAAUGUUAGAUUUCUAACUUUGAACCAUAAUCUGGUCAAAGAACAGUUUCAGGUGGGCAGUUUGACUGGGGCGGUCGCCUCCCAAAUGGUAACGGAGGCGUACAAAGGUUUCCUCUGAACGGAUAGAAAUCGUAUCUAGAGUGUAAAGGCAUAAGGAAGCUUGACUGUGAGACCUACAAGUCGAGCAGGGACGAAAGUCGGUCUUAGUGAUCUGACGGUACUGAGUGGAAAGGCCGUCACUCAACGGAUAAAAGUUACUCUAAGGAUAACAGGCUGAUCUCCCCCAAGAGUUCACAUCGACGGGGAGGUUUGGCACCUCGGUGUCGGCUCAUCGCAUCCUGGGGCGGUAGUACGUCCCAAGGGUUGGGCUGUUCGCCCAUGAAAGCGGUACGCGAGCUGGGUUCAGAACGUCGUGAGACAGUUCGGUCCAUAUCCGGUGUAGGCGCUAGAAUAUUGAGAGGAGCCUUCUUUAGUACGAGAGGACCGAGAAGGACACACCGCUGGUGUACCAGUUAUCGUGCCAACGGUAAACGCUGGGUAGCUAUGUGUGGAGUGGAUAACCGCUGAAAGCAUCUAAGUGGGAAGCCCACCUCGAGAUGAG
rnacentral:rRNA from 1 species